CAGCAGCCACGGGAACACGUAGGGUGCAAGCGUUAAUCGGAAUUACUGGGCGUAAAGCGUGCGCAGGCGGUUUUGUAAGACAGAGGUGAAAUCCCCGGGCUCAACCUGGGAACUGCCUUUGUGACUGCAAGGCUGGAGUGCGGCAGAGGGGGAUGGAAUUCCGCGUGUAGCAGUGAAAUGCGUAGAUAUGCGGAGGAACACCGAUGGCGAAGGCAAUCCCCUGGGCCUGCGCUGACGCUCAUGCACGAAAGCGUGGGGAGCAAACAGGAUUAGAUACCCGGGUAGUCCCUGUCUCUUAUAC
rnacentral:rRNA from 1 species